GGGCUAAUGAACUAGCUCUCAAACAGCACUUCUGUUGAUUUGAGUGUGAAGCUUCCAGUCUUAACUGCUUCUAGUGAAAUGUCAGUUGGUUUAAAGGGAUGCAAAUAUGGUGUGGCAAGAUCCCAAUACUGAACAGUUUGGCUUUGAACUACCUUUUGCAGUGUGGAACUAAUCACAAGUAAUUUCACACAGAGAAACAAGGUGUGGAUUGCCAAUGCUACAGAAUAACAGCAUCAAGCACUCAGCUCAGAAAUGAAGUAAACCAAGUGAACUAUGCUAUACAAAUGA